UAUAUCAGUGUGUGAUAUAGUAGGGAUUAUUUCCCGCUGUUUUGAGCAGUAUAGGUAUUAGUAGAGUGUGCUAAUACUGUGUUCAAUUAUUUGAGAUGAUAUGAUGUUUUGACAAAUGUGUUGAUGAUGUAUGAUGAUAUGCAUAAUGUUGUGAAUGUAUAUAUUAUGCAUGUAUUUGUGAAUGGGCUGUUGUAUGGCUUAGAGUGUGAGCAUGUGUCCAUUGUGGAUUGUUGUUGAUGUUGCAUUGCUAGAUGAUUAGCGUGCAUAGCAUAGCCUUGGGGCUGUAGCUAAUUCCCAUGGUGAGGAAUUAGUGAGUGAAUCAUUGUGGAU
rnacentral:lncRNA from 1 species